GUAGGGAAGAACAAGUGCUAGUUGAAUAAGCUGGCACCUUGACGGUACCUAACCAGAAAGCUCACGGCUAACUACGUGCCUCGCAGCCGCGGUAAUACGUAGGUGGCAAGCGUUAUCCGGAAUUAUUGGGCGUAAAGCGCGCGCAGGUGGUUUCUUAAGUCUGAUGUGAAAGCCCACGGCUCAACCGUGGAGGGUCAUUGGAAACUGGGAGACUUGAGUGCAGAAGAGGAAAGUGGAAUUCCAUGUGUAGCGGUGAAAUGCGUAGAGAUAUGGAGGAACACCAGUGGCGAAGGCGACUUUCUGGUCUGUAACUGACACUGAGGCGCGAAAGCGUGGGGAGCAAACAGGAUUAGAUACCCUGGUAGUCCACGCCGUAAACGAUGAGUGCUAAGUGUUAGAGGGUUUCCGCCCUUUAGUGCUGAAGUUAACGCAUUAAGCACUCCGCCUGGGGAGUACGGCCGCAAGGCUGAAACUCAAAGGAAUUGACGGA
rnacentral:rRNA from 1 species